UGACUUGUUUACAGUUAUCCUCCAGGUUGU
rnacentral:piRNA from 1 species